GAGCUUAGUAGGAUAGUUUACCUAUCACACACAAGGCCCUGGGUUUAGUCUCUAGCACCACAAAAAGUAUACCAUACAUACCUGUAAAGCUUUCUAGCCAUAACUACUAUAAUUAUUAUAAGCCAUUACACGGAUAACAAAGGCCUUUUCAGGGGCUGGGGAGAGGGCUCAACAGGUAAGAGCAUUUGUUCUUGUAGAGGAUUCCUAGGCAUUUUCCAACACUCACAUGGUGGUCCACAACCAUCUUUAACUCCAGUUCCAGAAGAUCCGACACCCUCUCUGACCUCCUUGGGAACCAGGCAUAGCAUGUGAUAUAGAGACAUAUACAGCACAAAACAUUCAUACAAAUAAAAUAAGCUAAAAGAUGAGUCAUUUUCAAGUAAAACAUCCCCUAAGCAUACAUAAUCUAUUCUAAAAUAUGUGAAAUGGAGCCACACAUGAUAGCGCCUUCAUCUCAGCGCUGGGGAGGAUAAAGCAGCAGAUCAUCAACUCCAGGCUAACCUGGACUAUAGUUAAAUUUGAGGCUGGCAUGUAACAGUUAGAGACCUUCUAUCUUAUAUCCAAAAUCUAAAGGUUAGAGAUAGCUCAGUAGUUAAGAAUGCUUUCUGCUCUUACGGAGAACCCCAGUUCUGAUCUAAGUGCCCACAUCAGGUGGCUCAUAGUCACUUGUUUUAGGAGAUCCAAUGUCCUCUUUUGGCCCCUAAGGGUACCCAUAUUCAUUUUCUCUUCUCUCUCUCUCUCUCUCUCUCUCUCUCUCUCUCUCUCUCUCUCUCUCUCAUAUACAUACCAGAAACAUGAAUAAAAACAGUUUUUAAAACUUUAGAAAAAAAUCAGACAGUGUUGGGAAUAUAUUUUGAUGGUAGAGUACUUUCCUGGCAUGUGCAAAGCUCUAGGUUCUAUCUUUACUACCCCCCCACACACAAAAUAUGCAAAAUAAAAUAAAAUAAAAUUCACUGAGCAGUGGUGGCAUACGCCUUUAAUCCCAGAACUUGGGAGACAGGCAGGCAUAUCUGUGUGGGUUUGAGGCCACAGUCUCAGAGCAAGUUCUAGGACAAGCUAGGGCUACACAGAGAAACACUGUCUCAAAAAACAAAACGGAUGAUGAGGAUGUAUCCUUAUGCCAGGCACAAAUAAACCAAAAAGAGAGCUUAAGCCAAUCACUAAAAUAUUAAGGACAUACAUGAUUAAGAACAGUGUAGUGGCACUGACCUUUUAUCUAAGUACUACAGAGGCUAAGGCAGGAGGCCAGUACAACUUGUAACACCAAGAUACUGUCUCACCUAGCCUCACCCCCAACAUAUACAAAGUACAGCUAUAGCUUGUUUCUGGAUUUUUGAUCUCCUAGUUUUGGUUUUUGUUUGUUUGUGUUUUUAAAGACAGGAUUUCUCUGUAGCCUGGCUCCUGGAACUUGCUCUAAAGACCAGGCCUCAAACUCAGAAGCCCACCUGCCUCUUCCUCCCAAGUGCAUGUACCGCUAUGCCUACCUUGUUUUUUUGUUUUGUUUUUUUUUGUCUUUGUUUUUUUAUCUCCUAGUUCUAAUCAAUCAGUAGUUUGAUAUUCAAAAUAUUGACAGAAAGGAGACUACAUGCAAAGGUUCUCAGGCAAGCCAUGCAUGGUGGCUUAAGCCUGUAAUUUCAGCACUUUGGGAGAUUGAGGCAGGAUAAUUACAAGUUCUUGCCCAGCCUAUAAAGCAAGACACUUGCCCCUGUUCCCCAAGACAGGGUUUCCCUGUAUAGCCCUGGCUUUCCUGGAACUCACUCUACAGAACAGUUUGGCCUUGAACUCAGAGAACCACCUGCCCCUACCUCUAGGUGUACACCACCGCCACCCAGUGAGACUCUGACUUAAUCAAAAUUUAUUGUAGAUCCAGAAUGCUGGCUCAGUGCUUAAGAGCACUUACUCUGCAAUCAUGAAGACUAGAGUCAGAUCCCAGUAUAUGCAUAAUACUCUGAGCAUUCCCCAGAUUUGAGCAGAACAGACACAGGAGUACUGCUGGGGCUUGCUGGCGUCAUGCCUAGCAAGACCAGGUUGCAGGUUCAGGAGGAGAACCUGCCUCAAAGGAAGAUGCAGAGAAUGAGAGAAAAGGAUAUCAAAUCCCUUCUAGCCUGUGUCUGUACAUAAGCAGAUGAACAAGCUUCAUGUGGUGGUUAUGUAAUGAUACAGACAAAUCAAAGCUACAGAGAGGCUACAGACCUCCUUAAAAUGAACUAAUAUAACACCAGUUUCUGUAUACUGGCUCUUAUGCCUACAAGGACAUGGACUAGAAAUUCAGCCUUUAGUGUUUUUCAGUUUGAACAUAUAAACACAGAUCAAAUUCUUAACAUGCCAAUUUUAAUAUGAAGGCAAUUAGUUUUACACGUUUGUAGUGUUUCUCUCUGGAAAUCAUUUUGAAAACAUCUCUUCCUACUUCCUUUGAAAGCAAUACCUCUAAAGAAAUAUUCACUAAUAAAUAAUGCCUCUAGAAUAUAAAAAGAAAAUUACAAAUGCUAUCCCUUGCUUAUGUUUUUAUCACAGGCUAUCUGUAACUGCUGCUGGUUUUAGACAACCUAUGUUCACAAGUUUGUUUCCAGAUAUUUAAUUCCAUUUUGUUACUAUGUAAGAAAAUUAGCAUUUAAGUCUUUAUAAUGAAAUAUGCUAGAGUUGGGUAAACCACUGUUAAGUAUAUACACAUACCCAGACAUUUUUCUUACUGUUAUCUUAGCAGCAAUUCUUGAAUGAAGAAGUAAUGAAGCAAAGAGAUUCACAAACAUCCUGAACAAAAUUCUGUAUGUAUCUUUUUUCUGGGUAGAAUAAAAUUAUCCCAAGGUCUACAUCCACCUCCAUAAACCUAAAAAUACACUAGGAACUUACUAAAAGUAUGCUGACGAGCUGUAGGGAAAAAAAGAUAGACAUACAAAGGUAAUGGGGCCUCUCUGGGAACAAAGUGUUGAGGCUGCUGGGAGGGAGAAUUAAACAGAAAUAGAAUUCCAGUUUCCUAGACCUUACAAGGAAACACACACAAACACACUAGUUGUUUCCAGAAUGGUGCCAUAAUUACCAGGAAAGGUAAAUUAAUAUAAAUUAUCAUUCUACCCAACAGAUUAAGUUACUUACUAGCAAAGAAGAAGAAGAAAAGAAAAAGUAGAAGAAGAAGGAGGAGAAGGAAGAGAGAGAGAGGAAGAGGAGGAGGAAAAGAAAAAGAAAAAGAAAAAGAAGAAGAAAGAAAACCUGCUGGUCUUGAACUCACUAUGUAGCUGAGAAUGACCUUCAACUUCAGAU
rnacentral:lncRNA from 1 species